AGAUUGAACGCUGGCGGCAGGCCUAACACAUGCAAGUCGAGCGGCAGCACGGGUACUUGUACCUGGUGGCGAGCGGCGGACGGGUGAGUAAUGCCUAGGAAUCUGCCUGGUAGUGGGGGAUAACGCUCGGAAACGGACGCUAAUACCGCAUACGUCCUACGGGAGAAAGCAGGGGACCUUCGGGCCUUGCGCUAUCAGAUGAGCCUAGGUCGGAUUAGCUAGUUGGUGAGGUAAUGGCUCACCAAGGCGACGAUCCGUAACUGGUCUGAGAGGAUGAUCAGUCACACUGGAACUGAGACACGGUCCAGACUCCUACGGGAGGCAGCAGUGGGGAAUAGUUGGACAAUGGGACGAAAGCCGUGAUCCAGCCAUGCCGCGUGUGUGAAGAGGUCUUCGGAUUGAAAGCACUUUAAGUGGAGAAGGCUAGUUACUAAUACGUAUCGUGUUUUGACGUUACGACAGUAAUAAGCAACCGGUCUAACGUCUGUCGCCAGACCG
rnacentral:rRNA from 1 species